GACGAACGCUGGCGGCGUGCUUAAUACAUGCAAGUCGAGCGAGGCCCAUCCAGUGGCAACACUGGGGAAGGCCGAGCGGCGAACGGGUGAGUAACACGUGAGCAACCUGCCCCGAAGUCUGGAAUAACAUCGGGAAACCGGUGCUAAUACCGGAUUGCCCCACCUGACCGCAUGAUCGGGUGAGGAAAGAUUUAUCGCUUCGGGGAGGGGCUCGCGGCCUAUCAGCAGUUGGCGGGGUAACGGCCCACCAAGGCGUCGACGGGUAGCUGGUCUGAGAGGACGACCAGCCACACUGGGACUGAGACACGGCCCAGACUCCUACGGGAGGCAGCAGUAGGGAAUCUUGCGCAAUGGGCGAAAGCCUGACGCAGCAACGCCGCGUGGGGGA
rnacentral:rRNA from 1 species